AGCGAACGCUGGCGGCAGGCCUAACACAUGCAAGUCGAACGAACCUUUCGGGGUUAGUGGCGGACGGGUGAGUAACACGUGGGAACGUGCCUUUAGGUUCGGAAUAACUCAGGGAAACUUGUGCUAAUACCGAAUGUGCCCUUCGGGGGAAAGAUUAAUCGCCUUUAGAGCGGCCCGCGUCUGAUUAGCUAGUUGGUUGAGGCAAUGGCUCACCAAGGCGACGAUCAGUAGCUGGUCUGAGAGGAUGAUCAGCCACAUUGGGACUGAGACACGGCCCAAACUCCUACGGGAGGCAGCAGUGGGGAAUCUUGCGCAAUGGGCGAAAGCCUGACGCAGCCAUGCCGCGUGAAUGAUGAAGGUCUUAGGAUUGUAAAAUUCUUUCACCGGGGACGAUAAUGACGGUACCCGGAGAAGAAGCCCCGGCUAACUUCGUG
rnacentral:rRNA from 1 species